UUACACAUGCAAGUCGAGGGGUAUAGUUCUUCGGAGCUAGAGACCGGCGCACGGGUGCGUAACGCGUAUGCAAUCUACCUUUUACAGAGGGAUAGCCCAGAGAAAUUUGGAUUAAUACCUCAUAGUAUGUGAGAAUCGCAUGGUUUUCACAUUAAAGUUCCAACGGUAAAAGAUGAGCAUGCGUCCCAUUAGCUAGAUGGUAAGGUAACGGCUUACCAUGGCAACGAUGGGUAGGGGUCCUGAGAGGGAGAUCCCCCACACUGGUACUGAGACACGGACCAGACUCCUACGGGAGGCAGCAGUGAGGAAUAUUGGACAAUGGGCGCAAGCCUGAUCCAGCCAUGCCGCGUGCAGGAUGACGGUCCUAUGGAUUGUAAACUGCUUUUGUACAGGAAGAAACACUCCCUCGUGAGGGAGCUUGACGGUACUGUAAGAAUAAGGAUCGGCUAACUCCGUGCCAGCAGCCGCGGUAAUACGGAGGAUCCAAGCGUUAUCCGGAAUCAUUGGGUUUAAAGGGUCCGUAGGCGGUUUAAUAAGUCAGUGGUGAAAGCCCAUCGCUCAACGGUGGAACGGCCAUUGAUACUGUUAAACUUGAAUUAUUAGGAAGUAACUAGAAUAUGUAGUGUAGCGGUGAAAUGCUUAGAGAUUACAUGGAAUACCAAUUGCGAAGGCAGGUUACUACUAAUGGAUUGACGCUGAUGGACGAAAGCGUGGGUAGCGAACAGGAUUAGAUACCCUGGUAGUCCACGCCGUAAACGAUGGAUACUAGCUGUUGGGAGCAAUCUCAGUGGCUAAGCGAAAGUGAUAAGUAUCCCACCUGGGGAGUACGUUCGCAAGAAUGAAACUCAAAGGAAUUGACGGGGGCUUGCACAAGCGGUGGAGCAUGUGGUUUAAUUCGAUGAUACGCGAGGA
rnacentral:rRNA from 1 species